rnacentral:rRNA from 1 species
UACGUAGGGUGCAAGCGUUGUCCGGAAUUAUUGGGCGUAAAGAGCUCGUAGGCGGUCUGUCACGUCGGCUGUGAAAACCCGGGGCUCAACCCCGGGCCUGCAGUCGAUACGGGCAGACUAGAGUGCGGUAGGGGAGACUGGAAUUCCUGGUGUAGCGGUGAAAUGCGCAGAUAUCAGGAGGAACACCGGUGGCGAAGGCGGGUCUCUGGGACGUAACUGACGCUGAGGAGCGAAAGCGUGGGGAGCGAACAGG